rnacentral:rRNA from 1 species
UGCGUAGGUGGCGUGGCAAGUCAGAUGUGAAAGCCCGGGGCUCAACCUCGGAACUGCAUCCGAUACUGCCAUGCUAGAGUACUGGAGGGGUGACUAGAAUUCUCGGUGUAGCAGUGAAAUGCGUAGAUAUCGAGAGGAAUACCAAAGGCGUAGGCAGGUCACUGGACAGUUACUGACACUGAGGCACGAAGGCCAGGGGAGCGAACGGGAUUAGAUACCCGCGUA